CAGUAGCCACGGUAAUACAGAGGGAGCUAGCGUUGUUCGGAAUUACUGGGCGUAAAGCGCGCGUAGGCGGUUACUCAAGUCAGAGGUGAAAGCCCGGGGCUCAACCCCGGAACUGCCUUUGAAACUAGGUGACUAGAAUCUUGGAGAGGUCAGUGGAAUUCCGAGUGUAGAGGUGAAAUUCGUAGAUAUUCGGAAGAACACCAGUGGCGAAGGCGACUGACUGGACAAGUAUUGACGCUGAGGUGCGAAAGCGUGGGGAGCAAACAGGAUUAGAUACCCGUGUAGUCCCUGUCUCUUAUAC
rnacentral:rRNA from 1 species